rnacentral:misc_RNA from 1 species
GGUUGAAUAUAUUUGUAACAAGUUCGGAGCACAUGACAUGUAUGAUCCAACUUGAGGGGGAGUGUUGAGCUAUCCCUUAUCUCCUUAAAUUAUCUGUUAUGCUUAUGUGGUAUAAUAGGAAUACAAUUCCUAAGUCUAAUAGGAGUAUACUACCAUGUAUAUAUAUAUCUGUAGAGGUUGAAUGAAAUACACAGAUUUUUAACCCUCAAAAUCAUAGUCUUUUUUCUUCUUUCUAAAACUCUUUCAAGAAAAAAGUGGAAUAAAGAACGGAACAAGGACCAAUCCUUGGAAAAG